rnacentral:rRNA from 1 species
GACGAACGCUGGCGGCGUGCCUAAUACAUGCAAGUCGAACGCACAGUUUAUAACGUAGCGUGCUACACCAUAGACUGUGAGUUGCGAACGGGUGAGUAACGCGUAUGUAACCUUCCGUGUAGCGGGGGAUAACGAUACUAAACGUUAUCUAGUACCCCAUAUUAUUAAUUAUUCCAGGAUAAUUAGUUGAAAGCUGCAAUUGCACCACUACUAGAGGAACCUGCGUUGGAUUAGCUAGUAGGUGAGGUAACGGCUCACCUAGGCGACGAUCCAUAGCCGAUCUGAGAGGGUGAUCGGCCACACUGGGACUGAGACACGGCCCAGACUCCUACGGGAGGCAGCAGUGGGGAAUAUUCGGCAAUGGACGAAAGUCUGACCGAGCCAUGCCGCGUGAGUGAAGAAGGUUUUCGGGUCGUAAAGCUCUGUUGUAAGGGAAGAAAGGGUGUGAGAGUGGAACGUGCUGACUGUGACGGAAUCUAACAAUAAAGAGACGGCUAAUUACGU